rnacentral:rRNA from 1 species
AGUGAACGCUGGCGGUAGGCCUAACACAUGCAAGUCGAACGGCAGCACAGGAGAGCUUGCUCUCUGGGUGGCGAGUGGCGGACGGGUGAGGAAUACAUCGGAGUCUACUCUGUCGUGGGGGAUAACGUAGGGAAACUUACGCUAAUACCGCAUACGACCUACGGGUGAAAGCAGGGGACCUUCGGGCCUUGCGCGAUUGAAUGAGCCGAUGUCGGAUUAGCUAGUUGGCGGGGUAAAGGCCCACCAAGGCGACGAUCCGUAGCUGGUCUGCGAGGAUGAUCAGCCACACUGGAACUGCGACACGGUCCGGACUCCUACGGGAGGCAGCAGUGGGGAAUAUUGGACAAUGGGCGCAAGCCUGAUCCAGCCAUACCGCGUGGGUGAAGAAGGCCUUCGGGUUGUAAAGCCCUUUUGUUGGGAAAGAAAUCCAGCUGGCUAAUACCCGGUUGGGAUGACGGUACCCAAAGAAUAAGCACCGGCUAACUUCGUGCCAGCCGCCGCCGUAA